UUGAAGACGGCCCGGGACGGCU
rnacentral:miRNA from 1 species